AAGUCGUAACAAGGUUUCCGUAGGUGAACCUGCGGAAGGAUCAUUAACACGUAUCCAACGUUAAACCCCCCUGUGAAUCUUCAAUCGGCUGUUCGCGGACCCAGUGCGCCUCAGCAAUCCCGGUAAAUCAUUGACGAAACAGUUUUGAUUCGGGACUUCUGACAAAUGCCUCCGUUGAGCGCUAUCAGGGUGACAUGGCUUCCCCAAGCACCAGCGAAUGAAAGUGUCGUUUGACUGUGUAAGGAAGGCGCUUCACGAUUGCUAGAGGUCGAACACCGACCGGCAACUAUGUCACAGGGUCUCUUGCAGACCCCUUCGAAACAACGCUACUUACUAGUAGGGGCGUCGGGAAACCGUUAACCCCACAAAAACCGAACAACUGUUAACAAUGGAUAUCUAGGUUCUC
rnacentral:misc_RNA from 1 species